AUGAACGCUGGCGGCGUGCCUAAUACAUGCAAGUCGAGCGAACGGACGAGAAGCUUGCUUUUCUGAUGUUAGCGGCGGACGGGUGAGUAACACGUGGAUAACCUACCUAUAAGACUGGGAUAACUUCGGGAAACCGGAGCUAAUACCGGAUAAUAUUUUGAACCGCAUGGUUCAAAAGUGAAAGACGGUCUUGCUGUCACUUAUAGAUGGAUCCGCGCUGCAUUAGCUAGUUGGUAAGGUAACGGCUUACCAAGGCAACGAUGCAUAGCCGACCUGAGAGGGGGAUCGGCCACACUGGAACGGAGACACGGUCCAGACGCCUACGGGAGGCAGCAGUAGGGAAUCUUCCGCAAUGGGCGAAAGCCUGACGGAGCAACGCCGAGUGAGUGAUGAAGGUCUUCGGAUCGUAAAACUCUGUUAUUAGGGAAGAACAGAUGUGUAAGGAACUGUGCACAUCUUGACGGUACCUAAUCAGAAAGCCACGGCUAACUACGUG
rnacentral:rRNA from 1 species